rnacentral:rRNA from 1 species
AGAGAACUUUCCAGAGAUGGAUUGGUGCCUUCGGGAACUCUGAGACAGGUGCUGCAUGGCCGUCGUCAGCUCGUGUCGUGAGAUGUUGGGUUAAGUCCCGUAACGAGCGCAACCCCUAUCCCUGGUUGCUAGCAAGUAAUGCUGAGAACUCCAGGGAGACUGCCGGUGACAAACCGGAGGAAGGUGGGGAUGACGUCAGGUCAUCAUGGCCCUUACGGCCAGGGCUACACACGUGCUACAAUGGCGCGUACAGAGGGCUGCCAACUCGCGAGAGUGAGCCAAUCCCUUAAAACGCGUCGUAGUCCGGAUCGGAGUCUGCAACUCGACUCCGUGAAGUCG